GACGAACGCUGGCGGCGUGCCUAAUACAUGCAAGUCGAACGCUGAAGAGAGGAGCUUGCUCUUCUUGGAUGAGUUGCGAACGGGUGAGUAACGCGUAGGUAACCUGCCUUGUAGCGGGGGAUAACUAUUGGAAACGAUAGCUAAUACCGCAUAACAAUGGAUGACCCAUGUCAUUUAUUUGAAAGGGGCAAAUGCUCCACUACAAGAUGGACCUGCGUUGUAUUAGCUAGUAGGUGAGGUAACGGCUCACCUAGGCGACGAUACAUAGCCGACCUGAGAGGGUGAUCGGCCACACUGGGACUGAGACACGGCCCAGACUCCUACGGGAGGCAGCAGUAGGGAAUCUUCGGCAAUGGGGGCAACCCUGACCGAGCAACGCCGCGGGAGUGAAGAAGGGUUUCGGAUCGUAAAGCUCUGUUGUAAGUCAAGAACGAGUGUGAGAGUGGAAAGUUCACACUGUGACGGUAGCUUACCAGAAAGGGACGGCUAACUACGUG
rnacentral:rRNA from 1 species